UCAUCCUCAGGGUGACACCUGUCCCAUUAUCAAAACUCAUCGUUUCAUUAAUGUUAUGGACUUAUCAGAGUUUUUGUUAUGGGCUUUGAAUAACAUUUUAUGGGCUGAAACCAAAACAAAAGCUUGCCCCGUAGUAGCCUUCGACUUUUUCAAGGAUGACGACUUCUGGCAUCUAGGGUUCUUCUUUUUGAUCGAGCUCCAAUUAGGUCAAUCAACAAUGGGGGUUUUAGAGUGUUGUGUGAGAUGCAUCUUCGUGAAAAAUCUCUAGAUGGAGUUCUGUUCGUGUCGUUCCGUUAUGGUAAACAUCAUGCUCACAACUCCUAAGAACACUAGGAACUUACUUUCCAAUAGAAUGGGGAACUCACAUAGUGCGUUUAUGUAGAGAAUCUCGCAAGCCUUUAUAUAUAUAGAUUUUGAGAGGGUGUGUUUGUUACAUUGUCCAAAUCUAGGAAUCAUCUUAGACUAAUUGAUAGAAUACUUUUCUAUUGGGAAGAGUUGAUGAUACCCAUCUUAGGUCGCUAAUUAUUUGAUCUUUUUCUUUCUGAUUGCUCAUGUUAAACUAUUGCUCCAGCAACUACAUAGUUGUGUUCGAUUUUCUCGACGGUUCCUCCAACAUCGACACUGCAGUUUCCACCGGUUCCAUCUUCAGUAUCUAAAGCCCCAAUGACAAGUGUAUCAUUGACAAAAUCUCCUCUGUAAUUAACUACGCUCCCUUUCACCUUCCACAUGGCCACUCCUAAAAGAUACACAAUGUACAUAAUAUUUGUUGAUGUUUGGCUAUGUGUUGCUUGCAGCUUGGGUCAGAAGAACAAUGGUGUAUAGUUAAUGUGUGUCAUCUUUGUUCUUAAGCUAGGCAAAGGUGUCUUCACCUUCACCUUGGACCCAAUGUACAGUAAGUACGUCAUCACGCAAGAGAACAUUGAGAUCCCCAAGGCCGGAAAAUAUACUCUUUCAAGGAAGGGAACUACCAGCUGUGGGACGAGAAUUUGAAGUAGUACAUUGGUGAUCUCAAGGACCCAGGUCCAAGUGGGAAACCUUACUCGGCAAGGUACAUUAGAACUUUGGUCGGAGACAUUUCAUAGGACUUUGUUAUACGGUGUGAUUUACGUGUACCCACGUGACACCAAGAGCAAAAAUAGAAAGGUUAGGCUUAUGUAUGAGUAUGCACUCAUGAGUUUCAUUGAUGAGCAAGCUGGAGGAAAAUGAUCAUGUGGUCACAAGAGAGUACAAAUAUCCAACUAAAUUAAGAAGCUUACGCUUAACAUUGGAAGCAAAGAAGAAAUGGGGAAGCUGGAUGAUGUAUUUGAAAGAUUCAUUAGUUUUAGUUUUGUUGAUUCCAAGAUUCCUUUCUAAUAACAUUAUAUAAAGAUGUGUAUCUAAGUAGAAUUGAAAUGCUUCAAAAUUGUAGCUGAUGUUUCCUCUGCAGUUGACAUAAUGUCAUAAUUUCAGUGAAUGAGUUUAAUGAAUCCAGCGAGCAUCUUGCUACUGGGGACUGUUGUUCUUUUUCAAAGAAAUUCCAGAAAUGUAUACCCUCGCUAUUUCUCAUCAUUUGUUUGGUAAAAUGCAAAAUGAAAUUGUUUACAUAAUAUUUUUAAUAUUAUAUAUAUAAUUAAUUUGAAGUUAAAUAAGAAUAUUAAUAUAUGAAAAUAAAACUACUAAGGUCAUGUGGUAAUAUACAGUAAAUUGUUAAUAUAUGUGAAAAAUCAUUUGCACAAGAAACAAUAUCCAUAUAUAUAUAUAUGAAAAUCUAUUAUAUUUAAUAAAAACAGUGUUAAAUCAUAUUUUAAAAUGAACCAAUGUCGUUUGUUUUGAAAAUCAUAACUUCAAACAACAUGAUAUACUUGGAUUUAAAAUAUAACAACAUAUACAAAAUUUUAAAACAAACAUGUAUUUUUAAUUAGUAAAACUAAACUUUUUAAACUAAAAAAAUGUUAAACAAAAUAUGAUGGAACCACGUGACGAAUAAGAAAAACCCUUUUAAAUUCUUAAAAUAUGUUAGUCCAACACUUUUUCUCCAAUUCAAACUAUUUUUCCAAAUUAAAUUCACCAGUAUUGUAUACUAUAAAUCAUCUCCGGAAGCAUACAAAAUAACUCAUAUCACAGAGUCAGCCAUGUUUGGUUCGAACCUGGAAACGAAAGUGAAAAAAAGUGAAACAUGAUCUAGACAUAAUUAAAUAGCUUAUCUUGGUUGUCUUACAUUGUUUUGUUCUAAGAAAAAAAAAACCUCAGUUACAUAUUCUGAUUUAGUGCAUUAUUGUUUGACAACUGCAAUAUAAAUAAAAACCGCAACACAAAGUCUGUUAUACUCUGGUGAUAGCUUUUUUAAUCAGCAACAAAUUUUGAGAUGCAAAUUGGAUUAUAAUCAUUGUUCAAAAUUGAUUAUAUAUUAUAUAAAUGGUGCAUUUACAACAAAAUAGACUUUGGAUGAAGUGGAACAAAAUUUUGAAAAGACAAAUUAGUAAAAAUACGAUAAAUAAUAUUUAGAUAAUGAGUCCGAUUAGUUGGAUUGUAAAUGCAGAAAUUUUGUUGCAAGAUCUCAGUCUGUAAUUUUUAAUAACAUAGUUGUAAGUUAUUUGAUCUUGAAUAUAAUACAAUUUUUAAAGAGCUGAUUUAGAGACUAAUUGGAAACAAACGUUAUAAAAUUUUAAGUGAAAUGAAACAUUUUUACAAUUCAACCAAUUAAAUACCAUAACUAAGAUUUAAUUAAUUUUUGUUCAUUCUGCUCUUCACCUUAUAUAUAGUUUCCUAUGACCAAAAAGAAGUUGGAUACUAAAAUUCUUGAAUUGCCUAAGACAAAAGCAAUGAAUGAUUUAAAAUUAUUUUCUAAAUGUCUAUAGCUACUUAUAUUUUUAUAAUAGAUUCUAAAAUUUAUAUAUUAAAAAUAAACAUACUAAAUAUAUAAUUAAAUUUUAAACAGAAAAUCCGGGCGUAGCCCGGGCCGACCCUAGUCUUUAAUACAAAUAGUAUUUAUGGAUAUAUUUCAACUAAUUGUUAACAGUGUAAAAUGAUCUUACAAACGUGUAAUAAAUGAGUUACUAUACAAAGUUUGUAUUAAGAAAUGGUAUUGGAUAAUUUUAUUUUUAGUCAAAAAAGAAAAGAAACGGUAUUGAAAAUGUAAAAUAUAAUUAUACAAAAUUUUACACUCAAAUAUUUUGACUGCAACUUUUUUUAUUCAUACAUUUUGAAAUGUAUAUACACCGUAGCAAAAAAAAAAUGUAUAUACAUAAUACAUGGGAAAUGAUCUUAAAAUACUUUAAUAUUGUGUGCACAAAUUUAUUCUUUAACUAAUUAUAUAUAUUAAACUAUUCAACCAAACCAUAUCAAUAAACGCAACAGAAAAUUAACAUUUUACCGGCUAAAUAUUAUAAUCAUAUUUUGCGCAAUUAACGAAUAAUUUGAAAUUAAUUUGUGUAUACAAUAUUUGAGUAUUAACUAUGCAAUUAAAAAUACUUAAACGAGUAAUUUUUCAUUGGUGAUUCAUAUGAGCUUAAGUUAUUAACACCAAUCUUUAAAAAAUAUAUAUCCAAGUUACUAAGUUUUGUCAUAUAUAAAAUAAUAUGAUACGAAUACAUAUGCAUUGUGUUGUUGAUGCCACAAUAAACGAUUGCAUAAACCAUAGAUCCAAAACCAUCUAUAAAUGAUCUGACAAACACAAAAUAAAUGAGUAACAUACAAAGUUUGUAUUGAAAAAUACUAAACAUGAAAAUAUAUCAUUAUAUAAAUUUUCAUACUUCACACUAUUUAUUUGUUUCCAAGAAAAAAAAAACAAGAAAGCUCUGUUUUGAUUUCUCACGUGACCUCAUCACCGCUCUAUAUGUUUAGUAUUUAUGUCUGAAAUUACUGUAGUGGUGACUGGUGAGUCGGGUGGUCCAGACCUAACGAGUGAAACAAAAUUGGAGAUUAGUCGCAGAUUAAUUAAGGAUAAGUUUAAGUAUUUUCUAUCUUUUGUGAAUAUAUUUUUCUAUUUUUUUUGUUCAAAGUGAAUUAUAUUUAUACAUAAUAAGCGAUUUACACAAUGAUUCGAUGGAAAUAUUAGUAGGUUUAUAACUAUCGUAUCUGUUUUCGGGUAGUCUGAUUAACUUCGGGUAGUCUGGUUUCACUCCAUUAUUGGGGGCAUGGGAUAAAUUAACUUCGGAUAGUCUGAUUCCUGGCAUGGGUUUAUAUUUCUAGAGUUUAAAAUGUAAUUUUAACUCUUGCUACAUUUAAAUUAAGGGGUUAUUUGUUAAAUAGAUAAACAAAAAAGAGAAUUUAGUUUUGUAGAGAGAGGGUAGAGAGAGAUAGGAAGA